rnacentral:rRNA from 1 species
AGAGUUCGAUCAUGGCUCAGGACGAACGCUGGCGGCGCGCCUAACACAUGCAAGUCGAGCGGUGAAGGCCCCCCUCGGGGGGCGGAUGGAGCGGCGAACGGGCGAGUAACGCGUGGGCAACCUGCCCCCCUGACGGGAAUAGCCCGGGGAAACCCGGGGUAAUGCCCGGCGCCCCCGCGGGGCCGCAUGGCCCGGCGGGGAAAGCCCAGGCGCAGGGGGAUGGGCCCGCGUCCCAUCAGGCAGCCGGCGGGGUGACGGCCCACCGGGCUUUCGACGGGUAGCCGGGCUGAGAGGCCGAUCGGCCGCAUUGGGACUGAGACACGGCCCAG